UCUAGCAUAUGCUUCUAUAGCAGCAUUUGCAAAAAAAAUUUCUUCUAGUUUUUUACUUCAUACCAUGAUGAGAAAUCAUCUGUGUUGCGUAAUUUUUUAAUAGGUCUCUUUUCUACUGAUAGUUAUGCAUUAUCAGGUGUUAUCUUUUCCCCUUCAAAUGAAUGUAUAAUGUUGUGGUGGUCAAUUCUGAAGCUUAUGAUAUACUUUAUGUUCAUUAUUUAGUUCUCACCUUCUGGCAAUUUGUGUUUUUUUGAAUUUACAGAUGAUAUUGUUAGCAAUCUACCUAGUCAGUCCUGUUGACCUUAUUCCGGAAGCAAUGUUUGGUUUACUUGGUUACGUGGAUGAUUUCAUCGUGGCGCUCGUCAUCUUGUUUAAUCUUGCUGCCAUUUCUCGGUCAAUACUCUAUCACCGUCAUGGAGGUUCCUGAACUGUGCAGUCAUGGCUUACGGCAAUUUUAAAUUUAACCCAUGGAAAGGAGGAACUAGUUUUGAGUUCGUAAUAGCAAGCUGGGAAUUUUUCUUUGUUGUAUGGGGUCGAAUAAUUGGACUUGAUUCACCUCAUUGGAAUAUAGGAUUUUAGAAGUGAGCCAUCUAUAUGUUGCAAUGUAGUUUCAGUUGAAUUUGUAUACAUUUUCAUGCUCAAUUACGGUGACUUACAAAUGAAA